rnacentral:rRNA from 1 species
UACGUGGGGUGCGAGCGUUGUCCGGAAUUACUGGGCGUAAAGAGCUCGUAGGUGGUUUGUCGCGUUGUUCGUGAAAACCGGGGGCUUAACCCUCGGCGUGCGGGCGAUACGGGCAGACUUGAGUACUGCAGGGGAGACUGGAAUUCCUGGUGUAGCGGUGGAAUGCGCAGACAUCAGGAGGAACACCGGUGGCGAAGGCGGGUCUCUGGGCAGUAACUGACGCUGAGGAGCGAAAGCGUGGGGAGCGAACAGG